rnacentral:lncRNA from 1 species
UUAGUGUCGGAUUAUUUGUGCAAAAGCUUUACAUGUUAAAAAUACGCAACCAAUUCAUUUAAGGCAUACAAGUACAAUGCUUAUGGAUCUCGAUUGUGAUUCGCCCAAACCAACCUACGCCAUUUCGAACAUGAGUCAGCCUAACCCAGCCUCACACCAUUUUAAAUAUGACUCGGUCUAACCUCGCCUCCGACCACAAGGUAGGAUGGUGGCUCAUUUAAGCCAACAAUACUCUCUCUAGUAUAUGUACAAAAUUAUAGCAUGCAGGAAUCAAACCCAUGAUCUUUGACUCUAAUACCACUUGGCGGAUUGUUCGCACUACUAUUAAUCCCAAAAUUAAGUUCGAGCUAUUAGAAAUAUACAACAAAUUUACUUAAAGCUACAGACACAGCGUUCAUAGAUCUCGAUUAUGACUCGUCCCAACCAGCCUCGUGUUAUUUCGAACGUUACUUGAUCCAACCUAACAGCCCGCCAUAGGUAGGAUGCUGGCUUAUUUAAGCCAAAAUUA